rnacentral:rRNA from 1 species
GACGAACCACACAAACGUUAUUCGGAUUUACUGGGCUUAAAGGGUGCGUAGGCGGCGCGGAAAGUUGGGUGUGAAAUCCCUCGGCUCAACCGAGGAACAGCGCCCAAAACUACCGUGCUCGAGGGAGAUAGAGGUGAGCGGAACUUAGGGUGGAGCGGUGAAAUGCGUUGAUAUCCUAAGGAACACCGGUGGCGAAAGCGGCUCACUGGAUCUCUUCUGACGCUGAUGCACGAAAGCUAGGGUAGCGAACGGG